UACGUAGGGAGCGAGCGUUAUCCGGAUUUACUGGGUGUAAAGGGCGAGUAGGCGGGAUGGCAAGUCAGAUGUGAAACCCCGGGGCUCAACUCCGGGCCUGCAUAAGAAACUGCCGUUCUUGAGUGAUGGAGAGGCAGGCGGAAUUCCCAGUGUAGCGGUGAAAUGCGUAGAUAUUGGGAGGAACACCAGUGGCGAAGGCGGCCUGCUGGACAUUAACUGACGCUGAGGAGCGAAAGCGUGGGGAGCAAAC
rnacentral:rRNA from 1 species